rnacentral:rRNA from 1 species
AACGUAGGUUCCGAGCGUUAUCCGGAUUUACUGGGCGUAAAGCGCGUUCAGGCGGUUUGGCAAGUCGGGCAUGAAAUCUCUCGGCUCAACCGGGAGAGGUUGUCCGAUACUGCUGGACUUGAGGGCAGUAGAGGGUGGUGGAAUUCCGGGUGUAGUGGUGAAAUGCGUAGAUAUCCGGAGGAACACCAGUGGCAAAAGCGGCCACCUGGACUGCACCUGACGCUGACACGCGAAAGCUAGGGGAGCGAACGGG